AAAGCUCUGCCAAACUCAUAACAGAAAGAAAGAAAGAGAGAGACCGGCGGUUAGAGAAGAGAACCGUGUGUGGUGGUGUUGGCUUGCCGGCAUGUUAUGAGCGUGGGAAGGCCAGGCCGUGAAGAUGGAUACCAGACAGAAAGAAAAGGAGAAGGAGAAGGACCUGCCUCCAGGGGAGAAAACGCCUAAGGUUAGUGGUGUAGACUGCAAGGAACGGCCCCGGGCCUGCGGAUGAUCCGUGCGGCCUUGCG
rnacentral:lncRNA from 1 species